rnacentral:lncRNA from 1 species
AUGAAUGAAACUGAUAUGCAGUUGAUAGUUGAACCACUUUCUUUAACAGAAAUGUUAAAUGCGAGAACUCCUAAAACAAAGAAUAAAUCUGAUGUUAAAAAGAACGUAGAAAAGACGGAGGGACAAAAAGCGGUUAUACAACGGGUUUUUGCUUUUGAUAGGUGUUUCGAUGAUAUAGUUGGAAAUGAAGAAGUGUACAAUCAUUUAGCAAGAGACAUAAUUAUUGAUACAUUUAAAGGUAUUAAUGGGUGCAUUCUCGCUUAUGGUCAAACGGGAUCUGGAAAAACACAUACUGUUAUGGGUAUUCCGUCUGAUCCAGGUAUGUUACCUAGAUCGCUAGCAGAAUUUUUUAAUGGCAUUGAAAACCCUUCCU